rnacentral:rRNA from 1 species
UACGUAGGGGGCGAGCGUUGUCCGAAUUUACUGGGCGUAAAGCGCGUGUAGGCGGCCUUUUAAGUCAGGUGUGGAAUCUUGCGGCUCAACCGCAAAACUGCAUUUGAAACUGGAGGGCUUGAGUAUGGGAGAGGAGAGUGGAAUUCCUGGUGUAGCGGUGAAAUGCGUAGAUAUCAGGAGGAACACCCGUGGCGAAGGCGGCUCUCUGGCCCAUUACUGACGCUGAGACGCGAAAGCUAGGGGAGCGAACGGG